AGCCUGAUGCAGCCAUGCCGCGUGUGUGAAGAAGGCCUUCGGGUUGUAAAGCACUUUCAGCGAGGAGGAAAGGUUAGUGGUUAAUACCCGCUAGCUGUGACGUUACUCGCAGAAGAAGCACCGGCUAACUCCGUGCCAGCUGCCGCCGUAAUACCGAGGGUGCCAGCGGUAAUCGGAAUUACUGGGCGUAAAGCGCAUGCUGGCGGCCAAGUCAGUCAGAUGUGAAAGCCCCGGGCUUAACCUGGGAAUUGCAUUUGAUACUGCUUGGCUAGAGUCCUUGAGAGGGGGGUAGAAUUUCAGGUG
rnacentral:rRNA from 1 species